GGUGAUGAGAUCAAUGGAUGCCAUGGUGGUGAGUGGAGUAUGAUGUUGACGCAUUUGAACUGCUUCAAAGGCAUUAUCCAAGUUCUUGAUGGGCAGGUCCGCUGCAAGGCGGCGGUAACGUUCUGCUCUUGCGGCGUUUCUUACUCGUUGUCAAGUUCUUUGAGCUUCGGUCUCUUCUCCAGCAAUAUUUGCCAUGAGCUCAUCCUGCGAAACAUCAUCUGUAUGAUGUUCGUGUUGCAGGUUUCUGUCUCAUUG
rnacentral:lncRNA from 1 species